CAAGUAAGUCCCUCUACUCUCCUAUAAAUAGCCUCUUCAACUUCACAAUUUUCAGCACACAAACAUCAGCCAAAAUCCCUCAUUCUCUCCCCUCUAUCUCGUCCAAACACUCCCCAAAUGGAAGAGUUCAUCUUCCACUUCAAAGCCUUGAAGAUUCUCCAUAGAAGUCUCUCUUUUUCUCUUCUAAAAUCACCCCAAAAUGCCUCUUUCUCCCUAAUUUCGGGAUUCUCCUAAUACCUUCAAAGAAAUAGUCAUAUAAUCUCUCAACACUCAGCCCCAAAACUCUCCAAGAACAUCCAAGCCAAACCCGCUGAAAAUCCACCGAGCCUUUGGUUUUCUUACUCCUUCAUCUUCGAUUUCUUGCUCUUGGGUUCUCCAAGCUUUUUAGGAGGCCGGCGGAGUGGAGUUCGAGGAAUCGCUAGCCCUGGUGCCUUGAAUGUUUUACCCGGAUUUUUACCACGUCAACGAUUUCUAAAAUAUCUAGCCAAGAUAUCGAUUUUUAAUUUUGUACUCUGAUUUGGGAACCCAGUCUAUUAAACGGGGGUAUCUUAAAUAAAGUUUAUUUCCUUCCGCUGUCUUACGAGUGUUUUCUAAACCCCGGUGA